UUGAGUAAACCAAUAGGGUUCUAAAGAAUACAAAAUUGUCAGGGAAUUUUCUAGAAGAGAGAGCAGGUUCAGGGAAGGAUUGACAUUGAGAGUUUUUUGUAGGACAAUGGACAUGUACAACGUAUGCACAAUCCAGCCUUCAUACAAACUGAGUAAGGUCACCAUGCCCUUGAAGGACACAAAAGGAGAAGAACAUGCUUGAAAGCAGACAGUUCAGGAUGCAAAGGCAGACAAGAAAACCGCAGCGAGAUGCUUGAAGAAGGAAGAUUAACUAAAAUUAACUGAUAUAUUAAAAGGCAUGCGUAAGAAGGAUUUAACCAAUCAUGUAUUAGCUUGAGGCGUGAACAAUAGAAAAUAGUAUGAGUAUAGUUUGCUUUUUGUAAUAAAUCAGCUUCACUUGAUCACAUUGAUCAUGGCGUGAUGUCCUGUUAAUGAUUCUCCCCAAUAUUUUGGUGCCCGAAUGAGAGGGACCUGAAGAUGGCUAUUUCACUGCUGUGCAGAGGUUCAGCGAUAGCCUUUGGGAGGCGGAGAAGCCAGUCGAAAGUAUCCUCGCUGCCCCGGCGAGAAGAAAAGGUGAAUAAAGGAGCUCCAAGUGAAGAAGAUUGAUCUCGUCCUGAUCAGCCGACUACUGAGCAAUUUGAACCAACGCCAACAGGAGUAUUUUAUUCCUCACGUUCGCAGUCAUCAAAAUCUCCCUCGUCUGUCUGAAGAUAAAGGAAUUUGCUGGAUUCCAGCUAAGUGGGUGAAACCUUACCUAAAGUCACACCUGCCAGCUAACGCUCUGUCGAGAAGCAGAACGUCGGCGACAACACCGACUCCAGACGCACCUGACGGUUGAACGGUGAUUGAACUUACUUCCACAGCUAUUAACAGAUGCGGGCCAACUACGUGGACCUGGGGUUACAGUAGCCAGCAAUGCUAGCUUACCACCCACUUCCAACAGGGGUUUUAAACCAAUUUGAACAAGCUUGUUCUGUUCAUGGCUAUUUUUGCAAACCAUGGAUCAGAGUCCAGUGUGUUAAAUGCAAACUGAAGUGGUGGCGACAAGUCCGUCAGGAAAAUAAUCUUUUUAUAGCUCGCAGGAAAAAGCAAAAUGUAGCUCUACUAAUUUAGCUUGCAAUAGACAUUUUAGUAUACUUAAUACGCUUAAUGCUGAGCACACGCUAGAAAUAUUUUUAGGGCGGAGUCAUAGAAGACAACCCCCCCCUGAACCCCUUAGGGGGAUAUUUUUACAAUGUUGGAAUUUUAAACAGGAUUUUGCCCUUAUUGAAACACAGGAUCACCAAGGUUUGCUUUGGAUUCAAUUUCAAUUAGCAAAACACAGAAUAGCAAAUCAAACUGUAUUGCAAAGUCAGAUUACAGCUGCAGAGUGUGGGAGAGGAAUAGCAGUGCCGCAACAGCAUCACAUUUCUGAUAGCCAGUGGGACAAGGCCAAAGAGUAUUGGCUAAAGCGUAGACGUGAUCAGCAAAGGUGGUGACAAUGGCAAUUGUCCCGCAGAUAAUAUUGAUGAUAAUCAUUAUGAUAAUAGGAAAAAAUGCAGGGAUUGCAUAACAUUGAUCAGCGAGCAAACAUGUGGGUUACAUGGGCUAAUCAAACUGGGCAAUUUGCUUAUCAUUGGCGACACCUCCUGAUCCUUUUCGUACUUGUUUAAUCGGAGUUCCAUUAGAUUCUAUGGAAGAAUUUGGACCUUGGACUAAAGCCACAGUGUACAAAAAUUUAAGUGAGGCUUGGUCAAGUUGGUGCAUGGUCCAAUGGUGGAAUAUCCAGAGGGGACCAGCCUUUGCAAAUUGGUGCAAGACGUUUGGGAUUCCAAUGAACCCCCUGGGAGCACAGGCUUUUACAAUUGCCCAGGGACUGAAUGUCACCAGCAUGGAGCCACAGGAGCUAGACAUCCUGGGUUCUAUGCCAGGCAAUUACUGUCUAUUUUUUGGGUAUGAUUCUCUGGGCUCAGAUUUGUUUAGCAUAAAAGAGGGGCGACCAAGAAAUGAUAGCACUUGGAUAUCCCCUGGCUCCUCAUGGUACUAUAAUACUACAGAUUAUUGCAACAAUUGGAUAAGGCCUUUACCAACAGAGCAAGGUGCAGCUAAAAUGCUACCUCCUGGGGUUUUCCUCAUUUGUGGGGAUAGGGCCUGACCUGCAGUGCCCCAGAAAGCAUUGGGAGGACCAUGUUAUUUUGGUAAACUAACAUUAUUCUAACAUCCCCCUAACAUCCACCAGAUGCUUAACAUAAGUCACAAGUCCCAACGUUCAAGACGUAGUGUGCAUCAGUUAGGCCCUGAAUGUAGAGAUGAGGUACAAUUCUGGGACCCACCAUCAGUUAUAUUGGCAUCAGUUUUCACACCAGGAGGAGCCUUGGCACAAGCCCUCACGCAGUUAAGGCGACUAGCGUGUUGGGCAGGGAAACAAAUUAACAUCACAUCCACAGUGUAGAUGAACUCACUACUGAUGUUGAUAGUAUACGCCAUGCGGUGUUACAAAAGAGGCCUGCCAUAGAUUUUUUUAUUGCUAGCACAAGAGCACAGGUAUGAAGAUUUUGAAGGGAUGUUUUCCAUGAACCUUUCUGAUCACUCUGAAUCAAUUCACAAGAAACUUUCACAACUUAAAGAAAACAUGAAGAAACUUACACUUGUUAAUAACUCUUUUGAUGAGUGGUUAAAACCUUGGGGCAUUACUGGUUGGCUUAAAGACUUUGUUCGCUUUGGCAUUAUGGUUUUUUGCAUUAUUUUAGUGAUUUUGCUUAUUGUACCUUGCUUAUUACAGUGUGUACAAAGAAUAACUGAAUGUGCUAUUAAUUCAGUCUGGCUUGUGCAAAAACAAAACGGGAAUUGUUGAGAGUUUUUUGCAGGACAAUGGACAUGUACAACGUAUGUACAAUCCAGCCUUCAUACAAACUGAGUAAGGUCACCAUGCCCUUGAAGGACACAAAAGGAGAAGAACAUGCUUGAAAGCAGACAGUUCAGGAUGCAAAGGCAGACAAGAAAACCGCAGCGAGAUGCUUGAAGAAGGAAGAUUAACUAAAAUUAACUGAUAUAUUAAAAUGCAUGCAUAAGAAGGAUUUAACCAAUCAUAUAUUAGCUUGAGGCAUGAACAAUAGAAAACAGUAUAAGUAUAGCUUGCUUUUUGUAAUAAAUCGGCUUCACUUGAUCACAUUGGUCACGGCAUGAUGUCCCGUUAAUGAUCCUCUGCAAUAGAUUGACAUCAAGUGGGAGGAGGUGCAAGGAAGGUCCUGGGGAAAAGGGUAGGGAUAGGAGGGGUUGACAACUGGCAAGGGGAACAAUUUGAAACUUGGCAGGGAGUGGCUGGGUAAGAAACAGAAGGACUGACACUUAACAGAACCCAAUAACCGUGAGGGUGCCCAUCUAAUUUUAGAAACAUGGGAUACAAAAUGGGAAACGCUCCAAAAGGCAGGGGGAGGACAAUACAAAGGGAUUGUAAAAUCACAAAUUAAACAGUGAGCAUGCCAAUAAAACCUAAAAAACACACUGCAACAGUUACUGUAGUUUCAUGAGCCUUAAAGGCAUAAUUAAAGAUUACUGCUGAUUCUUAGAUCAGGAUCACUCCUCAGCUCAAGGGCUAUUUAGUGGCAAGAGCUAAGGCAAAAGGCAAAAUUCAAGAAAGCAUUGCUGAUUAAGUGAGUUAUGAGUUAUACGUGAAAAUGUUAACAAGGGUGAUCCAGUCAGAGCUCACGUCUGCCUGUGAUGCCGUGCUGCAGCUGGCAACACCCAGAGUGCCAGAGAUCCAAUCAUUCCUAAGGAUCAGGUUCUUUAAAGCAAGCACUGCUGUUGCAGGAUCAGUCAAAGACAGGACAGACAAAACUGAUGGUACUUCCUCAGUGCAAACAGAACUUUCCCACUGAUGAAUUUGCCCCCAUCUGGUCCUACUUUUAAUAUUUCUGUUUAAAAUUCCAAUUUUUAUCAGUGUCUUAUAAAAGGCAUCCUUACUCUAAGAAGUGAAUGUUCAAAGUGUUCAUUUGAAUUAAACAA